rnacentral:rRNA from 1 species
CCUACGGGGGGCAGCAGUGGGGAAUAUUGGACAAUGGGGGGAACCCUGAUCCAGCCAUGCCGCGUGUGUGAAGAAGGCCCUCGGGUUGUAAAGCACUUUCAGUGAGGAAGAACGCCUGGUGGUUAAUACCCAUCAGGAAAGACAUCACUCACAGAAGAAGCACCGGCUAAACUCCGUGCCAGCAGCCGCGGUAAUACGGAGGGUGCGAGCGUUAAUCGGAAUUACUGGGCGUAAAGCGCGCGUAGGUGGCUUGAUAAGCCGGUUGUGAAAGCCCCGGGCUCAACCUGGGAACGGCAUCCGGAACUGUCAAGCUAGAGUGCAGGAGAGGAAGGUAGAAUUCCCGGUGUAGCGGUGAAAUGCGUAGAGAUCGGGAGGAAUACCAGUGGCGAAGGCGGCCUUCUGGACUGACACUGACACUGAGGUGCGAAAGCGUGGGUAGCAAACAGGAUUAGAUACCCCGGUAGUC